AGCCAGUAAUGUCGACUUGAGUGAUUUGACCGACGAGGACUUCCGUGUUCUCGUGCAGCAUGUCCAGGAAAAUCUCAGACGAGCAGUCGAUGAAAUGAGCCUAGACGAGGUUGAGAUGGUACAUGACGAAAAGAGUCUUGA
rnacentral:misc_RNA from 1 species